rnacentral:lncRNA from 10 species
AUUGGAUUCCUCUCCCAUCUUCCACCCGCCAGCCUCCUCUUAAACAUGACAAAGAAUCCAAGGACUUGUGCUGGGGCUGUCAGCUGCUAUUCUGGUGCCCUGGGGACGAAGAAGGGAUCUGGAGGGAAGACUGUCACCCUCUUGCGAAUGUUUCCAAGAAGCAGCUCAGCAUGGGAGAGAAAAGGGGAGAUCCCAGUUCCAGGAACACCUGGCCAGUGUUUCACCUGUUUAUCGGAGUUGACAGGACCAGCCAGCCCUUUCCCACCUCUCCCCAUCAUGAUGGAUGGGAGCCUGGCCUUUGAGAUUCCUGCGAAGGAAUGACAAAGAACAUCAAGGCUCA